GACGAACGCUGGCGGCGUGCUUAACACAUGCAAGUCGAACGGAAAGGACCUGCUUUUGUGGGGUGCUCGAGUGGCGAACGGGUGAGUAACACGUGAGUAACCUGCCCUUGACUUUGGGAUAACUUCAGGAAACUGGGGCUAAUACCGGAUAGGAGCUCCUGCUGCAUGGUGGGGGUUGGAAAGUUUCGGCGGUUGGGGAUGGACUCGCGGCUUAUCAGCUUGUUGGUGGGGUAGUGGCUUACCAAGGCUUUGACGGGUAGCCGGCCUGAGAGGGUGACCGGCCACAUUGGGACUGAGAUACGGCCCAGACUCCUACGGGAGGCAGAAGUGGGGAAUAUUGCACAAUGGGCGGAAGCCUGAUGCAGCAACGCCGCGUGCGGGAUGACGGCCUUCGGGUUGUAAACCGCUUUCGCCUGUGACGAAGCGUGAGUGACGGUAAUGGGUAAAGAAGCACCGGCUAACUACGUG
rnacentral:rRNA from 1 species